UAAUAGUGUACUUGCGUUCUCUCUAGAAAGCCGUUAAGUUCGAAUUCAAGAGUUCUAAAGGAUUCACUUGAAUAGAAGGAAAUUAAGAACUUGGCAAGAUGAACUCUGCUGAAGAAGCUGUCAGUGCUGUUUUAAGACUUGCCCAGGAAAAUGCCGAGCUACGAGCACUCUCCGAGAAGACGGCUCUCGAGAAUGAGGAACUGAGAAGGGCCCUCGGCAAGG